UACGGGGGGCGAAGCGUUGUUCGGAAUUACUGGGCGUAAAGGGCUCGUAGGCGGCCAACUAAGUCGGAUGUGAAAUCCCCAGGCUUAACCUGGGAACUGCAUCUGAUACUGGAUGGCUUGAAUCCGGGAGAGGGAUGCAGAAUUCCAGGUGGUAGCGGUGAAAUGCGUAGAUAUACAGGAGGAACACCGGUGGCGAAGGCGGCUUCCUGGACCGACGCUGACGCUGAGGCGCGAAAGCUAGGGGAGCAAACGGG
rnacentral:rRNA from 1 species